rnacentral:rRNA from 1 species
UACGGGGGGGGGCAAGCGUUGUUCGGAAUUACUGGGCGUAAAGGGCUCGUAGGCGGCCAACUAAGUCAGACGUGAAAUCCCUCGGCUUAACCGGGGGAACUGCGUCUGAUACUGGAUGGCUUGAGUUCGGGAGAGGGAUGCGGAAGUUCCAGGUGUAGCGGUGAAAUGCGCAGAUAUCAGGAGGAACACCGGUGGCGAAGGCGGCUGCUCGCGGCGAACUGACGUCGUGAGGAGCGAAAGCGUGGGUAGCAAACAGG